rnacentral:tRNA from 1 species
GCCAUCUGGUGUAAGGCGAACAUCGCUGCCCGGAAAGCAGAAGAUGCGGGUUCGAGUCCCGCCUGGCG